rnacentral:rRNA from 1 species
UACGAGAGGCCCAAACGUUAUUCGGAAUUACUGGGCUUAAAGAGUUCGUAGGCGGCGCAGAAAGUAGGGUGUGAAAGCCCUCGGCUCAACCGAGGAAUUGCGCUCUAAACUACUGUGCUUGAGGAAGCUAGAGGUGAGCGGAGCUGAUGGUGGAGCGGUGAAAUGCGUUGAUAUCAUCAGGAACACCGGAGGCGAAGGCGGCUCACUGGGGCUUUUCUGACUGCGUGAGGAACGAAAGCCAGGGGAGCGAACAGGG